GACGAACGCUGGCGGCGUGCUUAACACAUGCAAGUCGAACGGAAAGGCCCUGCUUUUGUGGGGUGCUCGAGUGGCGAACGGGUGAGUAACACGUGAGUAACCUGCCCUGGACUUUGGGAUAACUUCAGGAAACUGGGGCUAAUACCGGAUAGGAGCUCCUGCUGCAUGGUGGGGGUUGGAAAGUUUCGGCGGUUGGGGAUGGACUCGCGGCUUAUCAGCUUGUUGGUGGGGUAGUGGCUUACCAAGGCUUUGACGGGUAGCCGGCCUGAGAGGGUGACCGGCGACAUUGGGACUGAGAUACGGCCCAGACUGCUACGGGAGGCAGCAGUGGGGAAUAUUGCACAAUGGGCGGAAGCCUGAUGCAGCAACGCCGCGUGCGGGAUGACGGCCUUCGGGUUGUAAACCGCUUUCGCCUGUGACGAAGCGUGAGUGACGGUAAUGGGUAAAGAAGCACCGGCUAACUACGUG
rnacentral:rRNA from 1 species